GCGCACAUGGUGAAAUGGUAGACACGCAGCGUUGAGGUCGCUGUGCUUAAUUUAACGAGCGUGCUGGUUCAAGUCCAGUUGUGCGCAC
rnacentral:tRNA from 1 species